GAUGAACGCUGGCGGCGUGCCUAAUACAUGCAAGUCGAGCGAACAGAUAAGGAGCUUGCUCCUUUGACGUUAGCGGCGGACGGGUGAGUAACACGUGGAUAACCUACUUAUAAGACUGGGAUAACUUCGGGAAACCGGAGCUAAUACCGGAUAAGAUUUUGAACCGCAUGGUUCAAUAGUGAAAGACGGCCUUGCUGUCACUUAUAGAUGGAUCCGCGCCGUAUUAGCUAGUUGGUAAGGUAACGGCUUACCAAGGCAACGAUACGUAGCCGACCUGAGAGGGUGAUCGGCCACACUGGAACUGAGACACGGUCCAGACUCCUACGGAGGCAGCAGUAGGGAAUCUUCCGCAAUGGGCGAAAGCCUGACGGAGCAACGCCGCGUGAGUGAUGAAGGUCUUAGGAUUGUAAAACUCUUUUAGCAGGGAAAUAAUGAUGGUACCUGCAGAAAAGUCUCGGCUAACUUCGUGCCAGCCGCCGCGGUAAUU
rnacentral:rRNA from 1 species